AAUAGAUACCCAGGUAGUCCACGCCGUAAACGAUGAGUGCUAAGUGUUAGAGGGUUUCCGCCCUUUAGUGCUGCAGCAAACGCAUUAAGCACUCCGCCUGGGGAGUACGGUCGCAAGACUGAAACUCAAAGGAAUUGACGGGGGCCCGCACAAGCGGUGGAGCAUGUGGUUUAAUUCGAAGCAACGCGAAGAACCUUACCAGGUCUUGACAUCCUUAUGACUUCUCUAGAGAUAGAGCUUUCCCUUCGGGGACAUAAGUGACAGGUGGUGCAUGGUUGUCGUCAGCUCGUGUCGUGAGAUGUUGGGUUAAGUCCCGCAACGAGCGCAACCCUUGAUCUUAGUUGCCAGCAUUCAGUUGGGCACUCUAAGGUGACUGCCGGUGACAAACCGGAGGAAGGUGGGGAUGACGUCAAAUCAUCAUGCCCCUUAUGACCUGGGCUACACACGUGCUACAAUGGAUGGUACAAAGGGUAGCGAGACCGCGAGGUUUAGCCAAUCCCAUAAAACCAUUCUCAGUUCGGAUUGC
rnacentral:rRNA from 1 species